AGUGCUGGGGGACUGGGCUGGGUAGGGAUACAUUGCGAGUUCAAGAUUUGCACAUACGAACUAUUAUCUAUAAAGCAGAUAAGCAGCAAGUUUCUACUGUAUAGCACAGGGAACUCUAUUCAAUAUCUUGUAGUAACCUAUAAUGAAAAGGAGUAUGAAAAGGAA